GACUGGAGCAGAGCAUAAACCACUUCCACUGUAGCGGGUGCGAAUGAACAUAGAACAGCAGAGGGAGUGAGGUUAGAGGAAGUAUUGUAAGGGGAAGAAGAAAGAUGAGAGAUCAGUUGAACAAUAGAUCAAGGAACAAUAUGGCAAAGAAGAGAGUUAUGUGUGAAAUAGUUAUUUGGAUUCGCAGGAGAGUGUCGUUAUGAGGGUAUUGAAGUAAUUUACUUUUGCAGAGGAAAGAGCCAAGCUGUAUGAGCGCAGCAUACAUUUAUAGUGGAGAAAGUCAGAUGCACAGUGAGACUUUCUCCAAUAGCGUUCAGCAGUUCUAGAGCAGUUUUGGAGGUAUCAAGUCAGCUUGGUGUGCCAAGGUUGUUGUUGGGGGUGCUUGCUACGUUUAAAUGUAGGAAGUGCCAUGAUGUCUAGUUGAGAGGAGAGGGCGGAAUUGUAGAAGGAGGUUGCAGAGCUAGGACAGGGGAGGUUUAAGAUAGGUAAAAGGAGUUUGGAGAUUAGUGGAGAAAAGCUCUAGGUCAGUGAUGGCGAACCUUUUUGAGCCUGAGUGCCCAAACCGCAAUACAUGCCAACUUUUUUUUCCUCAAAGUGCCAACAUGACAAUUAAAUCUGAAUAUGGAGGUUUACGUUUAGAAAAAACAACUUAUACAGUUGUCUGAACUAAUUAACAACUUAAAAGAAGAACACAACAG